rnacentral:rRNA from 1 species
CCUACGGGAGGCAGCAGUGGGGAAUCUUGCGCAAUGGGCGAAAGCCUGACGCAGCCAUGCCGCGUGAAUGAUGAAGGUCUUAGGAUUGUAAAAUUCUUUCACCGGGGACGAUAAUGACGGUACCCGGAGAAGAAGCCCCGGCUAACUUCGUGCCAGCAGCCGCGGUAAUACGAAGGGGGCUAGCGUUGCUCGGAAUUACUGGGCGUAAAGGGAGCGUAGGCGGAUAGUUUAGUCAGAGGUGAAAGCCCAGGGCUCAACCUUGGAAUUGCCUUUGAUACUGGCUAUCUUGAGUACGGAAGAGGUAUGUGGAACUCCGAGUGUAGAGGUGAAAUUCGUAGAUAUUCGGAAGAACACCAGUGGCGAAGGCGACAUACUGGUCCGUUACUGACGCUGAGGCUCGAAAGCGUGGGGAGCAAACAGGAUUAGAUACCCUGGUAGUCCACGCUGUAAACGAUGAGUGCUAGUUGUCGGCAUGCAUGCAUGUCGGUGACGCAGCUAACGCAUUAAGCACUCCGCCUGGGGAGUACGGUCACAAGAUUAAAACUCAAAUGAAUUGACGG